rnacentral:rRNA from 1 species
AGAGUUUGACCUGGCUCAGAUUAACGCUGGCGGCAUGCCUAACACAUGCAAGUCGAACGGCAGCACAGCAGUAGCAAUACUGUGGGUGGCGAGUGGCGGACGGGUGAGGAAUACGUCGGAAUCUGCCCAGUCGUGGGGGAUAACUAGCCGAAAGGUUAGCUAAUACCGCAUACGACCGAGAGGUGAAAGCGGGGGACCGCAAGGCCUCGCGCGAUUGGAUGAGCCGACGUCGGAUUAGCUAGUUGGCGGGGUAAAGGCCCACCAAGGCGACGAUCCGUAGCUGGUCUGAGAGGAUGAUCAGCCACACUGGAACUGAGACACGGCCCAGACUCCUACGGGAGGCAGCAGUGGGGAAUAUUGGACAAUGGGCGCAAGCCUGAUCCAGCAAUGCCGCGUGUGUGAAGAAGGCCUUCGGGUUGUAAAGCACUUUUAUCAGGAACGAAAAGCGUUGGAUUAAUACUCUGACGUGCUGACGGUACCUGAGGAAUAAGCACCGGCUAACUUCGUGCCAGCAGCCGCGGUAAUACGAAGGGUGCAAGCGUUAAUCGGAAUUACUGGGCGUAAAGCGUGCGUAGAUGGUUCGCUAAGUCGGAUGUGAAAGCCCCGGGCUCAACCUGGGAACUGCAUCCGAUACUGGCGGACUAGAGUGUGAUAGAGGAUGGCGGAAUUCCCGGUGUAGCGGUGAAAUGCGUAGAGAUCGGGAGGAACAUCCGUGGCGAAGGCGGCCAUCUGGAUCAACACUGACGUUGAGGCACGAAAGCGUGGGGAGCAAACAGGAUUAGAUACCCUGGUAGUCCACGCCCUAAACGAUGUCGACUGGAUGUUGGGUGCAACUUGGCGCUCAGUAUCGAAGCUAACGCGUUAAGUCGACCGCCUGGGGAGUACGCGCGCAAGCGUGAAACUCAAAGGAAUUGACGGGGGCCCGCACAAGCGGUGGAGUAUGUGGUUUAAUUCGAUGCAACGCGCAGAAACCUUAC